GUUAAGGUAGUUCAAAAAGGGCACAACAUUGAAGAUGUUGGGGUGGUUUAUAAGGUCCCUAACC
rnacentral:tRNA from 1 species